rnacentral:rRNA from 1 species
UACAGAGGUCUCAAGCGUUGUUCGGAUUCAUUGGGCGUAAAGGGUGCGUAGGUGGCGCCGUAAGUCAGGUGUGAAAUUUCGGAGCUCAACUCCGAAACUGCAUUUGAUACUGCGGUGCUUGAGGACUGGAGAGGAGACUGGAAUUCCGGGUGUAGCGGUGAAAUGCGUAGAUAUCCGGAGGAACACCGGUGGCGAAGGCGGCUUCCUGGACCGAUUACUGACGCUGAGGCGCGAAAGCUAGGGGAGCAAACGGG